AACGAACGCUGGCGGCAUGCCUAACACAUGCAAGUCGAACGAGAUCUUCGGGUCUAGUGGCGCACGGGUGCGUAACGCGUGGGAAUCUGCCCUUGGGUUCGGAAUAACAGUUGGAAACGACUGCUAAUACCGGAUGAUGACGAAAGUCCAAAGAUUUAUCGCCAGAGGAUGAGCCCGCGUAGGAUUAGCUAGUUGGUGUGGUAAAGGCGCACCAAGGCGACGAUCCUUAGCUGGUCUGAGAGGAUGAUCAGCCACACUGGGACGGAAACACGGCCCAGACUCCUACGGGAGGCAGCAGUGGGGAAUAUUGGACAAUGGGCGAAAGCCUGAUCCAGCAAUGCCGCGUGAGUGAUGAAGGCCUUAGGGUUGUAAAGCUCUUUUACCCGGGAUGAUAAUGACAGUACCGGGAGAAUAAGCUCCGGCUAACUCCGUGCCAGCAGCCGCCGUAA
rnacentral:rRNA from 1 species